rnacentral:rRNA from 1 species
CACUCAUAAGGUUGAGCUGUGAUGGGGAGAGGAAAUACGUUUCCUCGAGUCGUUGAUUUCACACUGCCAAGAAAAGCCUCUAGCUAGAUACUUGGUGCCCGUACCGCAAACCGACACAGGUAGUCAAGAUGAGAAUUCUAAGGUGAGCGAGCGAACUCUCGUUAAGGAACUCGGCAAAAUGACCCCGUAACUUCGGGAGAAGGGGUGCUCUUUGGGGUGUAUGCCCGGAAGAGCCGCAGUGAAUAGGCCCAAGCGACUGUUUAUCAAAAACACAGGUCUCUGCUAAACCGUAAGGUGAUGUAUAGGGGCUGACGCCUGCCCGGUGCUGGAAGGUUAAGAGGAGUGGUUAGCUUCUGCGAAGCCACGAAUCGAAGCCCCAGUAAACGGCGGCCGUAACUAUAACGGUCCUAAGGUAGCGAAAUUCCUUGUCGGGUAAGUUCCGACCCGCACGAAAGGCGUAACGAUUUGGGCACUGUCUCAACGAGAGACUCGGUGAAAUCAUAGUACCUGUGAAGAUGCAGGUUACCCGCGACAGGACGGAAAGACCCCGUGGAGCUUUACUGUAGCCUGAUAUUGAAAUUCGGCACAGCUUGUACAGGAUAGGUAGGAGCCUUAGAAACGUGAGCGCUAGCUUACGUGGAGGCGCUGGUGGGAUACUACCCUAGCUGUGUUGGCUUUCUAACCCGCACCAUUUAUCAUGGUGGGAGACAGUGUCAGGCGGGCAGUUUGACUGGGGCGGUCGCCUCCCAAAGUGUAACGGAGGCGCUCAAAGGUUCCCUCAGAAUGGUUGGAAAUCAUUCAUAGAGUGUAAAGGCAUAAGGGAGCUUGACUGCGAGACCUACAAGUCGAGCAGGGUCGAAAGACGGACUUAGUGAUCCGGUGGUUCCGCAUGGAAGGGCCAUCGCUCAACGGAUAAAAGCUACCCCGGGGAUAACAGGCUUAUCUCCCCCAAGAGUUCACAUCGACGGGGAGGUUUGGCACCUCGAUGUCGGCUCAUCGCAUCCUGGGGCUGUAGUCGGUCCCAAGGGUUGGGCUGUUCGCCCAUUAAAGCGGUACGCGAGCUGGGUUCAGAACGUCGUGAGACAGUUCGGUCCCUAUCCGUCGUGGGCGUAGGAAAUUUGAGAGGAGCUGUCCUUAGUACGAGAGGACCGGGAUGGACAUACCUCUGGUGUACCAGUUGUCGUGCCAACGGCAUAGCUGGGUAGCUAUGUAUGGACGGGAUAAGUGCUGAAAGCAUCUAAGCAUGAAGCCCCCCUCAAGAUGAGAUUUCCCAACUUCGGUUAUAAGAUCCCUCAAAGAUGAUGAGGUUAAUAGGUUCGAGGUGGAAGCGUAGCGAUACGUGGAGCUGACGAAUACUAAUCGAUCGAAGACUUAAUCAAUUU